AUUAACUUUAUUCACUUAAAACGGAAGUUAUUUGUUGUUGUUUUUUACAUCUUUUUUGGUUUUGUUGAUACCUUUUUGGAGACGUACAAGAAAAACACGGAGGGUCCCUGAAUGCAUCACGCCUGAAGCAGCUUCCACAGACCUCCUCCGGUGACAUUCCAGCGAUGUAGUUCCCGCCAAGCCCCUCCCUCCUGAAGUACACUCCAGAGUGGUCGAUCAGGAAAGGCGUGUCCAGACCGGGACCGUCGGGACAGUGGACCACGUACACGAACCUGAACAUCAACAAACAUGUUUUUAUGGUGAUACUGACCGGUGACUUCUCCAGCACACUGGAUGGCACCCAAUGAUAUGGCUUUCCUCUUGAAGGCGUUCAACAGAGUCCAGGGGUCAAACCAGCCCUCGUUCUCCAGACCUGCACAGUUAAAACACGACCUCUGGGUCUUGUAGUUCUCCUCCAUGAUGUGUGCCACCUUCUCGCUGGCCAGGAACAAAUAUCCUGAUUGGUUGAACUGCAGGUCCACGGCAUCUUCGUUCAAUACCCCAAGGUGGUCCUGGGAGGACACAUUUUUUGGAAGUGUGCAGACUCCAAAGACAGGCAGAUGUUCUCCAGCAGGGAAAACUGCUGCCGGAUCCCCCCAGCGGACAACACUGUGGACGCCUUGGAGUACUGAAGGGACGGACAGCGCAGAGAGGUGAUAGGAGAACGUCAUUUAAGGAAAAAUCAGGAAUGACAGCAGACCCCGUUUUUGCUGCAAAUUCCUAAAAACACUAAAGCACUGUCACAUAGAUGAUCUUUGACUGGCAUCUUGUGUAAUAGUUCCUUUAAAACAGUGGUUGUUAACCUUGUUGGAGGUACCGAACCCCACCAGUUUCAUAUGCGCAUUCACUGAACCCAUCUUCAGUAAAAAAUAUAUAUAUAUUUUUUUCAAAUUCAAGACAAAGUUAUGGUUUUUUUUACCGGUGCACAAAAUGAACCAUGCAUGAACAUCACCUUGUUCAAAGAACAAAACCAACACAGUGCAUAAACUCACAACAAUUUACACACUUGCAAAUCAGUGUAACUUCUGCUGUUGCCGUAUCCAUAAUACGCCGAUAUGGAGAAGUUUUUAUUUACACAAUGAGUCAGGUGUGUCUCGACAUCCGAACCCCUGAGGCCGACUCACCAAACCCUUAGGGUUCGAUCGAACCCAGGUUAAAGGGGAACAUUAUCACCAGACCUAUGUAAGCGUCAAUAUACAGGUAAAAGCCAGUAAAUUAGAAUAUUUUGAAAAACUUGAUU